rnacentral:tRNA from 1 species
GCCUGGCUGGCUCAGUUCGUAGAGCAUGAGACUCUUGAUCUCAGGGUCAUGAGUUCAAGCCCCAUGCUGGGCC